ACACUGACGUCGCGACGCAUAUCAAUAAGCGGAGGAAAAGAAACUAACAAGGAUUCCCUUAGUAACGGCGAGUGAAGCGGGAAGAGCUCAAAUUUGAAAUCUUCAAGGUUCUACCUUAACGAAUUGUAGUUUAUAGAAGUGUUUUCUGUUAGUGGAGUGGCAAAAGUUCUUUGGAAUAGGACAUCAUAGAGGGUGAGAAUCCCGUAUUUGGUCAUUCCUCCUAGCGUUGUGAUACACAUUCAACGAGUCGGAUUGUUUGGGAAUGCAGUCCAAAAUGGGUGGUAAAUUUCAUCUAAAGCUAAAUAUUGGCGAGAGACCGAUAGCGAACAAGUACCGUGGGGGAAAGAUGAAAAGAACUUUGAAAAGAGAGUUAAACAGUACGUGAAAUUGUCAAAAGGGAAGCGUUUGACACCAGUGUUGUUUUUCCGAAAAUCAAUUACGAAUGUUUUGUUUUUGAGGAGUUAUGACUUCAUCGGCUUGCUCCUUUCUUUAUGAAACUUUCUUAAUGCACUUUUCGGUUAACAAGUCAACAUCAAUUUCUUUUGUUGUAAAAGGAGUCAUUGGAAGGUGGCUUUCAUAUUUCGGAUGAAAGUGUUUAUAGCCUUUGACUUCUGCAAUCGGAGAGAUUGAGGUCUGCAGCGUAGAUCCUUCGGGGUUAGAUGCAUUUGUGCUAAGUUAUAGUUCUUCAUAGACAACAUGUUGACUAUGAUUAAGUCAUGUAGCUUACUCGCUUAUGCUAUUUUACCUACGCUUAGGAUGUUGAUCUACAGAGCGAGAGU
rnacentral:rRNA from 1 species